rnacentral:rRNA from 1 species
UGGUGGGGUGACUUGUCUGCUUAAUUGCGAUAACGAACGAGACCUUAACCUGCUAAAUAGCCCGCAUUGCUCCGGCAGUGCGCUGGCUUCUUAGAGGGAUUUCGGCUCAAGCCGAAGGAAGUUUGAGGCAAUAACA